rnacentral:rRNA from 1 species
GAUGAAUGCUGGCGGCGUGCCUAACACAUGCAAGUCGAACGGUAACGCGGGGCAACCUGGCGACGAGUGGCGAACGGGUGAGUAAUGUAUCGGAACGUGCCCAGUUGUGGGGGAUAACUGCUCGAAAGAGCAGCUAAUACCGCAUACGACCUGAGGGUGAAAGCGGGGGAUCGCAAGACCUCGCGCAAUUGGAGCGGCCGAUAUCAGAUUAGGUAGUUGGUGGGGUAAAGGCUCACCAAGCCAACGAUCUGUAGCUGGUCUGAGAGGACGACCAGCCACACUGGGACUGAGACACGGCCCAGACUCCUACGGGAGGCAGCAGUGGGGAAUUUUGGACAAUGGACGCAAGUCUGAUCCAGCCAUGCCGCGUGCGGGAAGAAGGCCUUCGGGUUGUAAACCGCUUUUGUCAGGGAAGAAACGCUCUGGGUUAAUACCUCGGGGUAAUGACGGUACCUGAAGAAUAAGCACCGGCUAACUACGUGCCAGCCGCCGCCGUAACAC